rnacentral:rRNA from 1 species
GGGAGGAGUCUUAUAGCUACAUCAUGCAGUCGAACGCUGAAGCCUGGUGCUUGCACCGGGUGGAUGAGUGGCGAACGGGUGAGUAACACGUGAGUAACCUGCCCCUGACUUCGGGAUAAGCCCGGGAAACUGGGUCUAAUACCGGAUACGACCGUCGGACGCAUGUCUGGUGGUGGAAAGUUUUUUCGGUUGGGGAUGGGCUCGCGGCCUAUCAGUUUGUUGGUGAGGUAAUGGCUCACCAAGACGACGACGGGUAGCCGGCCUGAGAGGGCGACCGGCCACACUGGGACUGAGACACGGCCCAGACUCCUACGGCGAGGCAGCAGUGGGGAAUAUUGCACAAUGGGGGAAACCCUGAUGCAGCGACGCAGCGUGCGGGAUGACGGCCUUCGGGUUGUAAACCGCUUUCCUCAGGGAAGAAGCGCAAGUGACGGUACCUGCAGAAGAAGUACCGGCUAACUACGUGCCAGCAGCCGCGGUAAUACGUAGGGUACGAGCGUUGUCCGGAAUUAUUGGGCGUAAAGAGCUCGUAGGUGGUUGGUCACGUCUGCUGUGGAAACGCAACGCUUAACGUUGCGCGUGCAGUGGGUACGGGCUGACUAGAGUGCAGUAGGGGAGUCUGGAAUUCCUGGUGUAGCGGUGAAAUGCGCAGAUAUCAGGAGGAACACCGGUGGCGAAGGCGGGACUCUGGGCUGUAACUGACACUGAGGAGCGAAAGCAUGGGGAGCGAACAGGAUUAGAUACCCUGGUAGUCCAUGCCGUAAACGUUGGGCACUAGGUGUGGGGGGCAUUCCACGUUCUCCGCGCCGUAGCUGACGCAUUAAGUGACCCGCCUGGGGAGUACGGUCGCAAGGCUAAAGCUCAGAGGAAUUGACGGGGGCCCGCACAAGCGGCGGAGCAUGCGGAUUAAUUCGAUGCAGCGCGAAGAAGCUUACCUAGGCUUGACAUACACCAGACCGUCCUGGAUACAGGUCCUCUUCUUUGAAGCUGGUGUACAGGUGGUGCAUGGUUGUCGUCAGCUCGUGUCGUGGAAUGUUGGGUUAAGUCCGCUACGAGCGCUAUCGUCGUUUAUGUUGCAGCAUUGAUUGUGGGACUCUAAGAAACUGCUGGGUAACUCAAGAAGU